CGGAUAACGACGAACAAUUUGUAUCUUGUCGAUGCACAAAUACAAAAAACGAUUAUUUGCAUACAGAUAGUAACAUCCGACAGCAACAACAACAGCGACAGCGUGAUCGUCGAAGUCACAGUCGGUGUAGCAAUAGUGAUAAUGUUUCUGGUACCAAAAUAGAUUUCGAAAAAAGUAACAUAGGUACAUCUUUAUCAAUGAAUAAUUUAAAAAAUGGAACUAUAAAUAAAAAAAGUUGGAAUAGGAAUGAUAGUAGGUUAAGGAAUAAUGAUAAAAGAUUACUAUACUUGAACGAAUCUGAUGUUUGUUUGGGGUGUAUCCAUACGAAUCAAAGAGUUUACUGUUACAGAAUAGUAUUAACAAUUUUUGUGUUUUUGUUUGAUCAUUCAAAAUGUAUAUCUGAAUAUUACAAAUAUAUGCUUAAAGUCGGUUUGAUGAAUAAUGAGUUUAAAAAAUAUGUUGAUGAUAAAAAGGGAAACGAAAAGAUACAAUACCGUUUUGAAAUAUGCAAAUGUAAAAAAAAAUAUAUGUAAAUAUUUAUUUCUUCAUCACCAUUGUAAUAGUAAGUUUAUAAAAAAGUUGAUGUAUUGUUUUUUACACAUGUUAAUAGAAAUAAACUACAAAAAAGAGGAGAAAAAAGAGGAGAAAAAAGAAACAAAUGGGAUGGGGGAUAUGAAAAUUGCGAAGAGUUUUAUAAAUAAGUUUUAUAAUAAAGGGUGUUUGGAAAAACGUGUAAAAAGGUGUAUAAGUUUAUGCAAUGACGAUACGUGGAAAAACAAGUUAAAAAUAUUAGCUGAUCAAGUCAUUAAAAGAAUUGCAUUAAUAUUAUCAAAUCGUUUCGUAUUAGCUAAAAAUAAUAUAUUUAUUUAUAUAAAGAAUCAUAUGAAUGAAUUGGAUGUUUCUACUUUUGUAUAUACUUUGUGUAAUAUAAUAAAUUAUCAUUCUUUGUUCUUAGAUACUGCUAUAUAUGGUUUAUAUGUUAUAGAAACAGUUUUAAAAUGUAUAUUACAUAUACAGCCAGUUGAAAUAAAAAAAUGUAUGCAAACAUCUUUUUUUUCUGAAUUAUGCAUAUGUAUAUGUAAUAUAUGUAAUAAACCUAAAAUAAAAAAAAAAAUAUUUGGUUUGUUACUAUUAAUAAGAGUUAUUAAAAUUUUACAUCCACAUUGGGUACAGUCAAAUGUGUAUAACAUAAUUUAUGUUUUAUUGUCUUGUUACGAACAAUCUGAAUUACAAUAUGAAAUUAUUACUAAAAUCUUGUUAGAAGAAUGUACUGGUUUAGUUUUUUCGUCUUUAUUAAUUGGUUAUGUUGGAGAAGUAAAUAUGUACGUAUUAAACAAUAUAAGACAAGUGGAUUUAACAUAUAUAUAUGAAAUAAAUAAAUGGUAUGUUGAUGUGGUGAACCAGGUUGAUGAUAAAGAGCGCUUACUUUGCUUGAAAGAAAUAAAAAAUGAAAGCAUUUGUAAGAUACGCAGUGAUACAGAGAGGAUACGGGCUUUUUUUGCCAACACAGAUUAUGGUAAUGUUAGUGGCGCUGGUCAUAUUAGUGGUGUUGGUCAUAUUAGUGGUACUGGCCAUGUUAGUGGCGCUGGCCCAAUUAGUGGUUCUGACACUGUAAUUGACACUGUUAUUGGUAUUGAUAGUAAUGAGGGUGGUAUAUGUGGUGGUAAUAAUGGAGGUGAUAUAAGUAGUGGUAGUAAUGGGGGUGGUAUAAGUAGUGGUAGUAAUGGGGGUAAUAUAAGUGGUGGUAGUAACGGUAUAAGUAGUAUUAAUAGUGUUAAUAGUGUUAGUAGUAGCAGUAGUAGCAGUGGUAGCAGUAGUAGCAGUAGUAGCAAUGGUAGCAGUGGUAGCAGUGGUAGCAGUGGUAGCAGUAGUAGCGGUAGUAGUAACAGUGGUCACAUAAAAAAUAAACGAUUUUUAAAAGAAACAUGCUUUUGGUACGAACCUGAUGAAAUAUUUACGUGGGACAUAUUGACAGGAAAAAAAAAAAACAAAAGGAACGACAGAGAUAUUGAAAAAAUGAAAAGGUUAGUAUUUGACAUAUUGGAAAUAUUAAUUUCUAAUUUGAAAAAUGAAUUUAAGAAAAAAUUUAUAAAAAAAGUUUUUGUUAUUAUAACAAAGAUUUUAAACACAGAUAUAAGAGAUAUAUUCAUGUAUAAAUAUUCGAAUAAAAAAAACAAUUUAUGUUUACUUAAUGUGUUUAUGAACCAGUUUAAUAUUUGUAAUUUUAUAAAGUCUCCAUUAAAAAAAAAAAAUUGUUAUCUUGAGAUGUAUUGUUUUUUAUUAUCUCAAAAACCGAGUGUUGUAAUGAGGUUAGACGUAAUUUUAACUUUAAUUAAAUAUGUAGUACAAAUAAUAAAAUAUUUGGAAAAAACGGAUGAAAAUCAAAAUCAAUACUUUAAUUUGCUUUUUAAUGGGAACAUAACUAAUAGUUGUUCGAGUGACAACGUAAAUAUGAAAUUGAGUAAAAAAUAUGGUUUAAACGUGAUUUGUGAGGAUGUGUCUGACAAUGUACAGGGACUGGGUAAUACAAACGAACUCGAUUUUACACAAGAACUUGACAAUAUAAACGAAGAAGAGUUUAAACUUGUAAUGCAGUAUCCACACCAUUCAUCACAUCCUAUUUAUGAAGAAUGUACAACAAAACAGAGUUUAUAUAAUGCGAGUUUAUGCCGUAAUAAUAAUAAAGCUAUUUUGAGUAAUAUGCACGUUAAUGAUAAACAUGUAUAUCAGCUUCAUAACCAUUCAAAUGUUGAUACGUUUUCAGAAAUGCAUAUUAGCAAAAGUAAUGAUGAAAAAAAAAAUAAAAACUUGCGCGAAUUGUAUGAAAAAAUAAAAAAUAAAAAAAGAAGUUACAGUUUACAUAAUAGUAAGAGCUAUUUGUCUGCAUCCUUGCCAAAUAUAAGUAAUAAAAAUAGUUAUUGUAAUAAAGGUAACUUUACUAAUACUGCUAGUGAUACUGUCAAUGUUACUACCAGAAUUAGUAAUAAUAAAUAUCCUAAUGGCAACACAAAUAGUAAUGAUAACAAUAAUAUUAGCACUAGUACUACUGUUACUACUGGUACUGGUACUAUUGGUACGACUAGUACUGGUACUACUGUUACUACUAGUACUGGUACUACUGUUAC
ensembl:lncRNA